AGGUGACGUCACGGGCCGCGUGUGACGUAUAGUGGCGCGGGCCGCUGGAGCUCUCCGGGUUGUGUGGUCUUCCCCCCCUCCCACUACGGGUCGCGGCUGGGGGCGGCCCGGCAGCGGGGACGCGGCUUCCCCCUCCCACCCCUCCCCUUCCUCCAGCGCUUCGACCCAAGAUGGCGGCGCUGAGCAGCGGCAGUAGCUCCGAGGGGGCCUCGCUCUUCAACGGGGAUAUGGAGCCUGAGCCGCCGCCCGGAGCUGGGGCCUCGUUCCCGGGGGGCAGCGGCGGCGGCGAGCCGGCCAUCCCAGAAGAGGUAUGGAAUAUCAAACAGAUGAUUAAAUUAACACAAGAACACAUAGAGGCGCUGCUGGACAAGUUUGGAGGAGAGCAUAACCCACCAUCAAUAUACUUGGAGGCCUAUGAAGAGUACACCAGCAAGUUAGAUGCUCUUCAACAAAGAGAACAGCAGUUAUUGGAAUCCAUGGGGAAUGGAACUGAUUUCUCUGUCUCCAGCUCUGCUUCAACAGACACAGUUACAUCAUCUUCCUCCUCUAGCCUCUCUGUAGCACCUUCAUCUCUUUCGGUUUAUCAGAACCCCACAGAUAUGUCACGGAAUAACCCCAAGUCUCCACAAAAACCUAUUGUUAGAGUCUUCCUACCCAACAAACAGAGGACAGUGGUUCCAGCAAGAUGUGGGGUGACAGUCCGGGACAGUCUAAAGAAAGCUCUGAUGAUGAGGGGUCUUAUCCCAGAAUGCUGUGCUGUUUACAGAAUACAAGAUGGAGAGAAGAAGCCCAUUGGCUGGGACACUGACAUUUCCUGGCUUACAGGAGAGGAGUUGCACGUGGAAGUCUUGGAGAAUGUGCCGCUUACCACACACAAUUUUGUACGAAAGACGUUCUUCACUUUAGCAUUCUGUGACUUUUGUCGAAAGCUGCUUUUCCAGGGAUUCCGAUGCCAGACUUGCGGUUAUAAAUUUCACCAGCGCUGUAGUACAGAGGUGCCACUGAUGUGUGUUAAUUAUGACCAGCUUGAUUUGCUGUUUGUCUCCAAGUUCUUUGAACACCACCCAAUAUCGCAGGAGGAGGCCUCCUUAGGAGAGACCACCCAAGCAUCUGGAUCGUACUCUUCAGUGCCCCCCUCAGAUUCUAUUGGACCACCAAUUCUCCCUAGUCCUUCUCCUUCAAAAUCCAUUCCAAUCCCACAGCCCUUCCGACCAGCAGAUGAAGACCAUCGGAAUCAAUUUGGGCAACGAGACCGCUCGUCUUCAGCACCCAAUGUGCACAUCAAUACAAUAGAGCCUGUCAAUAUUGAUGACUUGAUUAGAGACCAGGGGUUACGAGGAGAGGGAGGUUCAACCACCGGUUUGUCUGCCACCCCACCUGCCUCUUUGCCUGGGUCCCUUACCAGUGUGAAAGCUUUACAGAAGUCCCCUGGACCACAACGAGAGAGGAAGUCAUCCUCAUCCUCAGAAGACAGGAAUAGAAUGAAAACCCUUGGUCGACGGGACUCAAGUGAUGAUUGGGAGAUACCAGAUGGGCAGAUUACAGUCGGACAGAGGAUAGGAUCUGGAUCAUUUGGAACAGUCUACAAGGGAAAGUGGCAUGGUGACGUGGCCGUGAAAAUGUUGAAUGUUACAGCACCCACGCCUCAGCAAUUACAGGCCUUCAAAAAUGAAGUAGGAGUGCUCAGGAAAACACGACAUGUGAAUAUCCUACUUUUCAUGGGUUAUUCAACGAAGCCACAGUUGGCUAUUGUUACACAGUGGUGUGAGGGCUCCAGUUUGUAUCACCAUUUGCAUAUCAUUGAGACCAAAUUUGAGAUGAUCAAACUCAUUGAUAUUGCACGGCAGACCGCACAAGGCAUGGAUUACUUGCACGCCAAGUCAAUCAUCCACAGAGACCUCAAGAGUAAUAAUAUAUUUCUUCAUGAAGACCUUACUGUAAAAAUAGGUGAUUUUGGUCUAGCCACAGUGAAAUCACGAUGGAGUGGGUCCCAUCAGUUUGAACAAUUGUCUGGGUCCAUUCUAUGGAUGGCACCAGAAGUAAUCAGGAUGCAAGAUAAAAACCCUUAUAGCUUUCAAUCAGAUGUAUAUGCAUUUGGGAUUGUUCUUUAUGAGCUGAUGACUGGGCAGUUACCAUACUCGAACAUCAAUAACAGGGACCAGAUCAUUUUUAUGGUGGGACGAGGAUACCUGUCUCCAGAUCUCAGUAAAGUGCGAAGUAACUGUCCAAAAGCCAUGAAGAGGCUAAUGGCAGAGUGCUUGAAGAAGAAAAGAGAUGAGCGACCCCUCUUUCCACAGAUUCUUGCCUCCAUUGAGCUUCUGGCUCGGUCAUUGCCAAAAAUUCACCGCAGUGCAUCUGAGCCCUCAUUAAACCGGGCUGGCUUCCAGACGGAGGAUUUUAGUCUGUAUACUUGUGCUUCUCCAAAAACACCCAUCCAGGCAGGGGGAUACGGUGGGUUUCCAGUACACUGAAAAGGCGUUGAAAGCAUGUGCCUGUGUGAGUGCUGUUCUGUUCCCGUGUGUGCAUGCACAAGUGUGCGUAUGUUCUGAAUUCCUACAUGCUGUUCUCUUUAAAGGUGCACUGAGGGAGUAAACACUUACAUGUUAGGAGUGUGGGCUUUGUAUGUUGCUGGCAUGGAGACUGUUGCUAGAUAUGGAUGCCCUGGGAAUUGCCAGCACAAAAGGAUUAAAAGGUCAUCUAAGGGAAAAGUCACUUCAGACAAAACAAAAAAACCUGUUUUGGUUUCUGGGUCAUACCUUGCAUUUCCUUUGCUUUCUAUGCCUUCUUUCCUUACUUUGAUGGUUGGGUUAGUUGCUCUGUGGGUGGUGUCUUUAUGUUUAAAUAAUCAAACUAUAUAUUUUUUUCAAUUGAAUUGUCCGUAUCCAUGAGCAACAGGUUUUAGCUUCUCAGAUAAGUUGUGUUGCUGGUGAUAUGUGAAGAUGGCAAAAAGACCUUAGCUGCAAGGCUGAGCACAGCCAAAACUGGGUGUAGUCAGCAAAGGAGAAUUUGCAGCGUUCAAGUAGCCACAGCGCCAUGGCAGCACCCACUCUAUUAUUUAAGUCUUGUGUUCCUACAGUUUCUUAACAUCAAAACUCUGUUCUGCACCUCAAAACCUAAAGCAAUUUAGGAAAAGAUAUCUGUAAGCUUAGAGCAGAGCAGAAGGGAACUGCUGGUCCAACACAAGGGGGGGAAAUAAUCUUUUUAGGAACCAGAAUUCUCUGCUGCCAGUGUUUCUCCUUCAACACAAAACACCACGUGUAUUCAGAGACCGCAGUGGCUGCCUGUACCGUUGUCAUCAUUCCCAGGAGAGAGGAGAGGGCACGCGUGUUUUGACUUUGGUGCUCAGGCAUAAGGGGAUGGAACUGCUGCAGCAGCUUAGGAGACUUGCUUUGGAUGUCUGCCAGUUGGCUUUCUCCCUCUAACAACGAAUCAUCAGAGGCUGAACGUCUGAUGAGAGUGCUAAUCAAAAGAAUCAUCUUCUGUUCUGAUUUAUUUUUUUCCUGGCAUGCUUACUGAUUUAUGGGUCAAAAUGCAGUAUCCCCUUUUCAUUUAAAUGCAGAUAUCAAACAUUUCAAUCAGUCUACAUCAUUGACUUUUAUCCUAGUUAAAUUUGAUACUUUGAGGGGUGGGAGGUGGCUUGGAGAGAAGUUAAUCUGGAGGAAAAGGGGAUGCUGCACCAUAUUCAAAUUUACUUUUCACUUAUCCAAAAAACCUACCCUUUUCUUGUUUCUAAUACUUUCUGGUGUGCUCAGACAGGGCAUCUUUCAGAAGGGUUGGGAAGCUCCUCUCGUUGGUCCAGCAACAAACUAAAGUUAACCAAAAAAAAAUAUAUAUAUGUAGCAAGUUCUCAAAAUAUUUUUUUGUAUCAUCUAAUUCAGUGUAUUUUUCAGAAAUGUGAUAAUGGCAUCCGAAGUCUGUAAAACUGCUAAUACAGACUAUGGAAUGGUGUAUGUACCUAUUUUAAAAGUUUUAUUUUAAAUGAGGGUGCAGGUUAAUGCCAGGUACCUUACCAAUAUAUAAGGUUUUCAUAAACAGGAAAAAAUAGUUCUCAGGUUGAACUGAAAAAAAAAAAAUAUAAAAAAUCCCCCCCUCCUACCCCCAAAUUAGACAUUCUGCAAAUUGUGUUUUGGUACUUAGAGAGCUUUUUUAAAAGGAUUUUUAUCCUGUUAACUCAGUGUUCUCUGAUAAGUGUGUGUGUAAAUGUGGAGCAUCUUGUCCCAGUGGCAAGGUGUUAGAUUAAAAAAACAAACUACUACUACAAAAAACGGUACUUGCUGGAUCCACGCUGACCUUUUCUCCUCUUGUUGGUUCCCUCUGUUUGACUCUCUUGUUUCCAUCCCUCCAUUUUUCCCUUUUCCACAGUUUGCAAACUAGGAUAAAGGUGGCAGUAUCCAAUUAGUUUCCCUUGUUUCCCUGUCCUCCAAGCCCAGUUCUCAAAUGGUUGGUAGCUUUUUGACAAGUUACCAAGUCAGAAGACAAAUUCAUAAAGUUCAGCACAUUGUUUACCUCUAGUAGAAUAUCUUGUGAUGUGAUCUGUUUGCAGAAUUCUCCGAUGUGUGGUAUGAAACUUAAAUUAUUUGUACAGAGGCAAGUCAGACCAUAGUAGAAAGAAAUUCAAGCUCACAUGGAAGUCUUCAGAGUUUGGUUAAUAUCUGCCCUAUACCAUUCUACAUGAGGCAGGAGAAUUGACGCCUCUAAUUGGCAGCGCUUUUCUUAGGUGAAUGAAAUCAUGAGACACAUGUAAAGGAGUUAAAUUUGUACAAAUGCACAUGGCGUUGGCUGAACACAUGGCUUUUGCCUCACUAGGUGAGUGGGGACCUUUCCUGUGUACAGAAGGGUGCCCCUGGAGAUAUAGGUAGCCUGUUAACGUUUGUCAAUUAAUAUUUGCUGGGGUUAAGGGGUCCUGAUUAAUUUGAAGUGAGAAAUAUAAUUGAAAUACUGUGUAUUCAUGUUAAUUCCACAAACAUUAGCCAGACAUCAACAAAGAGUGAUGUGAAGUUACUACAAGGAUGAAGCAAUUCAUGUUGCUACAUGAAUAGAAUUGAUUAUGUGUACAGGGUGCAUUUUAACAAACAAACAAGCACAACUUUUUUCUUCUCUGCUGUGGGUCUUCAGAUGCUAUUAGGUUUUUUCCUUCCCGAGAUGGGCAGGAAUUAAAAUAAUCAGUAGCAGUGUCUACUUUCCAGUGUGGAGAAGCAAGCAAAGUGAGCAGUAGUGCACAGUCAGGUGAAAUCACCAUGUGCCAUGUUAGUGUAAUGGCAGUAUACAGUGCUAUCUGAGGCAGUUGACAGACCAAGGUGGAGAAAGCUAGGAACCAAGUUGUCAGCAACAGUUGAGAAUUUUUACCAACAUUAACUCCAAGAGAGUGAAGUCAUUACUGUAUCAGUUUUCCCCUCAGCCAUUUUUUUUUUUUUGGCUUGUGAUAUAGCUUGUAAAUGUAGGGCACACUGAAAAUUACAUAUGCUCCUAAAGAAAGGUAUAGUCUAAGUAUGUGUUGUUGGGUUAAGAAUUAUCAUUUCAACGUACUGGAUAAAAAUCCUAGUUUCCUUCUAUAUUUUCAUGCUGGCAGAGAAGUAUUUGUUAAAAUAUAACAGUAAGGAAUUAUUUUUAUCCUCUUUUUAAAUGAAUUUAUUUUGUAAUGCUUCAUUACCUAUUAGUCUACAAUAUGCUUCUUGAGCCCACAGGAAAAGCACAAGGAAAAUUGCUAUCCUUGUCCAUGCAAAGCACUUUAUAAGUAACACAUGGUCUUUGAUUUCCCCUGCCCUCCAAAAAACAUGUAUGUUGUUUGACUGUUUAGUUAAGUCUUUCAGGUUUCAUUUCUAUUACCUUCCAAGUUUUUUCUCUUAAAGUAGCUGUAAUGCUUUGUUUGUGUCCAGCUUUGUAUCUGUACAAAGACCACCUUAAUCCUCAUGCAAAACUUUGGGAAAAUUUGAUUUGUAAAUAAUUGUUUUUCUUCAUUUCUUUUCCUUCAGAAAUUACUAAGGACGUUUUGCAUGAAAAUAGGAUCAGUUUUAAAGGUGCCUUGCAGGUGUUUGGUAAACAGUGAGACAGUAGCAGGGACAUGUAUUGAAAGCCCCAGAUAAUAAUGGGGUGAAGAAAACAAUUAACUCUUUUAAAAAAUAAUAAAUACAUUCAGGCUUUCUGUUCACACAAUACAGCUUCAGCUCAUCUGUGAUUCCCCAGCUCAGUGCACUAGGACAUAAACCCACAUGCUGGGUUUGGAAAUUUUAUUAAAUAUUUUUAUGCCUGUUGAGAUACAAAAUUAUCUAGGCACUUAUACUGCUUUAAGCUCCAACAUAUCUGAGCAGCUAAUAAACCUUUUCAAAACCACCACUUGAGCACCUGUAGUCCAACUCCAUGCUCUUAUCAUCUAGUCCCAUCUCCCUGUCAAUGCAGGAUUCUUCCCUACAGUAUAUUGUCUGGGGCAUCGUGGUGGCAUUGAAGUCAAAUGGAGUGAAUGUAGGGGCCUAAUUACUUCUAAAGCAUCAGCAUCAGUUAAAUGCCGAAUGUCCCUAUAUUCGACAGAGUCCUGCUAUUCUCAUUUUUCACAAAACAUUUGCAUGUCACUGAGUUAAUCUGUUCCUGCUUGCUUUAUUCCUUACCUGAAAUCAUCCUUUCUCAUAAUUGAGUUCUUUGGCAAUUACUGAUAAUACAGAUUAUUUUGGGUCAAAUUCUGCCAUCAUAUUUUAGUGGCUUCUACUUAAGUCAGUUGGAGCUAUAUGUGCUCUUUAGAGGACAACAUUUGGCCUACUAUGACAUGAAGUGAAUAAACAGAAGUGUGAACUGUUAACAAAGAUCACAUCUUUAUGCAAAUGUCCAGUGGUAAAAACAUACUGAAGAAUUGCCUCUAUAGUUGUAUUGUGUUGUCGAUGUACACGGUGCUUUCCUGAACACUCUGAAGACAAGGUCCAUGCCCCAAAGACACAAUGAUCUAAUAUCAGUUGAGGCAUCAGUAGUUCUUGAAGGUAUCUGUGUAGUGGAGGGCCGAAUUAAGAGCUGAAGCGUGCAAACAUUUCACACCUUUCCAGCCGGCAGGUUUUUAUGGAAUAUACUCCCUUCUUGACUGUGAGUGCAGCAUGUGUAGCACAAACUAUUCAGAGUACUGUAGACAAGUAUCUUUCCGUCCAUUGAAACAGUGUCACGAGGACGUAAUAUGAUAGUCUAACCUUUUAGGUACCUUCGAGAUUCAGAUGAAAGCCAGUUGCAUAAAUGGACUGUCAUGGCAUCACUUUGAAGAUACUGGGUGUUUUGUGUCUCAGUGGUUUGGUUUUUAUUUUCUUUAUAGAGACUAGUUUAUCACACACUUUCUUUAUAGAUACAAGUUUAUCUCACAUACACACGUUUUCUUUAUAGAUACAAGUUUAUCUCACACACACUCACACUCACACACCUCUUUCUUGGCUGCUUUAUUAUUUCUUAUCUGGUAAAUCAAUGCAUCAAAAACAGGUGUUGCGACAGUUGGAGUAAAAACUUCUUGUUUGUCUUUAGGUUUUAAAGAUGCUAAUAUAGAAGCUAGUCAGCACCAUGAGAGCAGUGAAUAGUAAUAGUCAUCAGUGUGUGUGUGGGAUGAAGGGGCGGUUUUUAAAAAAUAGCAGGAUGGGGAUGCUGAUGUGAACAAACUGAGGAAGUGAAAGCUAGUAAUAUUUAUAUAGAAAAGAUAUCCAGAAACUCUCUUAAAUGGUAUACAUGAGGCUUCCCAAAAGUUACCUUUGCAAUUUGCCAAAUGAUCUUGUGCCUUCAUGACUUAAAACAACUAUACAUAUAUAUUAGGUGCUUUGUAACUAGAGCAGUGGCUUUGGUUUAAUUCCAAUGCAGUGUCUUCAUAUUUAGAUGCAAAUAUGGACCUUUCACAAAAGUCAGCAGUUUUUGAGUUUGUAAAUGUAAGCAAAAGAUAUAUGGAGGAGAUGGGGAGGGGAGAAUUUACAGAAAUAUCCGGUGUUUGUAUCCAAAAUAAAGUUUAUAUGAGACAUAUACAUGUCUGAGAAAAUCUGCAACUUGAAGCUACUCUACAGAAAAUAAAAUGAGUUGCAUUUUUUAAAAAAUUAAUAAGACUUUUUGACCCCUCCAAAAAUCUAGCAUCUUGUUUGGGAAAUGUAAUAUAAAGUUCUUAGGAGAGAGAAAGUCAGAAUAUCCAGAGCAGUGUAUGAAAAGUGAGCUCUAGAAUAGACGGUUGACUGUCAGUACCCAUAAGCCAUGUACAUCAUGGUAUACCGUUAAUUUCCUGGUCCGGGGUUACAUUGUUUAAUGGAGUAUCGGCAGGUUUCUUUAGAUCUUCCUCAGGCCUCAUAUUGAUACACUGCUAAACCUCUACAACCCCAGCCACUGUUUAAAUGAUCGUAUAUCCUGUAAUCACGUGUACCUUGGGAGAUGAUGAGUAUAUUAUCAGUUGAGGGGCAAAAUAUACGUUUGGAUUUGAUAUGUUCAUGUUUCAAACUUAUCUUCGCUCCUAGCAGUACUUUAAUACUAGUGUCAUAUUUCAUCUGUAUGUCCAUAAGGAAAAGAGAAUGGUCUUUGUUCUUAAUGUUUUUUCAAGUCCUUUCCCUGCCUUUGUUGUUGGUGGAAGACUUUGGACAUAAUUCUGUGUUAUGUAAAUCAGUGCAAUUAAAUGCACAAUUAUUACAGAAUAUUAGACUUCUAUUAACCCCUUUUUAGUUCCUUUUAUAAAUCAGGGUGUAAUGUUUUUUAAAUGUUUUACUUAAAUGCCCAGGAAAUAUCUGGAACUUUUCUUCCUCUUCCAACCCAUGCACUGAAAAUACUCUUUAAGAAAAGAGUAUCCUCCCUACUUCUAUGAAAAACACAACUAUUUCCCUAUUUUGUGAAGGGGAGAGGGCUUGUGGUAAUGUUGGGGAACUUUUAAACUGCCUAAGCAUUUGUUUUAGUGUGUCAUAGCAACAGUAUGUUCAACCCAUCCAGAUGCCCUAACAGCCUAUAUGUACUAUCCAGUCUUUCUGUCUGGCUUAUCAUACCUGCAGCAAUUGUAGUUUAGAAUAAGCCUGUAUGACAUUUACUUCUGAAUUAGUAAAACACAAAGCCAAAACUGUUGUCUGAGUUUUAAAUAAUAGUUUGUUUUGAUAGAUAUCAUUUCAUUUGGGUGCUCACCCCGCUUGAACUCAGUUUGUUUGUUUUGUGUGUUUGGGAGUUCAGUAAAACGUUAAGACAUGACAAGCAAUGAACCCUAUCUGUGUUGGGGAGACAGGGGUAAAAUGGACCAAACUGGGAUGGUGGGUAUUUUGGGGAUAGUGGGGGUUAUGAGGGUGGGCAUAAUUUAAAUAACUUUGUCUAAAAUAAAAUGUAAGUGCAAUAAAUGUGCUUUUUAUUCAAAGCUGUGAACUGUUUAAAAAAAGACAUGCACAUCAUUCCUUCCUGAGCCUUGUUUCUUCCUCCCUUCCCCCCCAAAUGACUGAAACCUGGCAGUGGCCAACCUGCAUGUGUUAUCUAGUAUCGUGAUUUAAUAUGUGCUUAUCUACAUCAUGCUAUUAAAAAAAAAAUCUGAAUCCCUCGUGGUAGGACUAACAAGGCAAAUCCUGCCCCUACUUCUGCACCGCUGGAGACUCCUUUGGAACUAGUGCUAGUCUGCUAUGCUUCACUUGAAAGGGCAGGCUGUGAACAGCCCUUGAGGCUGGAGCACCGGCAGGGGGCCCUGAGGAUCUGCUGUGUGGCUCCUCUUCACAGGGAUACAGAACCUACUCCAGCCAUUGGAGUAGCCUCUCUGAGUGGGAAGAUUCCUUCCUCUGCAUAUGACUGGCACUUGCUCUGGCUAUGGACCCCAGUGCUGGGUAGAGGUUUUUUUUUCCUAAGCAACUUCCUGCUUGGGUUCUCUAUAUUCCUUUUGUCAAAACAAGCAUGCAGGCUGGCCCCUGUUUUCUCCUAUUACUCCACCUUGUUUUGAAGGAAUAGUUAUACAUAUUUUUAAUCACUUGUGCGGUCGUUGCACAGUCUGUCCCUUCCUCGCUCAAGAUCAUGCCGCUCUCCCUAGGUUAGGAAAGGUGCGGUGAUCUUUUCUCCACAAAGGACUCAAUACCAAUGUUUCGUUAAAAAGUUCAUGAAAGCAUAGCACUCGGGAAAAGCAAGGGGGAUGGCUUUUUAAAAAAUAUUAUAAAGAUGUUGCCUCAUAAUACCUUGUUUAUGAGCAACAGAAUACUCUAGUAAGGAGAGGAAAGGGAAAUAUAUAGAUUUGAUUUUUUUUUUUAACUUAGUGCAAUGAAAUGUACAUCCCACAGUUUGAACUCUGUGCUAACAACAUUCCUUUAAGCUGUAUUUUUACCACCAGAAGUUUUGUGAGGGUCUGAGUCUUCACUGUAGAAGGUCCAAUCUGGUUACUUAAGAAAACAGUUGUGUUAGUAGAUUUCUAUAGCUGCUUUUAAAAACUACAGUGGAGUAAUUGUUUUAAAACUUGUAUUUAUUUUUUAAUUCAUAAGAAAAUAUUUUCAGUUUUCUGUUACACAGACCAUGGCAACUCCUUCUUUCCCUUCCCAAUGUCCACAGUAAUUGCUAAUAAAAAUUAUUUUUCUUGCUUGUUUCCUUCCCCUCUACUUUUGUUACCCCUUCCUGCUCAAGUCCCUUCAUUUGUACUUUGAAGUUUUUUCUCAUGUAAAUUUGUACAAUGGGAAAUAUUGUCCAGUUUGGUUAGAGAGCAUGGAGACUUAAAGAAAACAUUAAAAAUUUGAUAGCUGAAAUUGAUUGAAGAAAACUAUUUCUGUGUAAAGUUAUUUAAAGAACUCUGUAUUAUAUAAAAGGCAAAAAGUUCUAUGUACUUGAUGUGAAUAUGAGAUUACUGCUAUAAUAAAGAUUGACUGCAUGGAGAAACA